AUGUAAAUAACUUUGCUUAGUAUAAUAAAAAGUGUAAUCAAUAAAGAAACACUGAAGUAAUACGCUGUCUUGUUUCAUAUUUUAUAUACGCAACGAUCGGCUUUUAAAGUAAUUACAGCCGAGAUUACAGUAUAUUAAAAGCAAACAUUGCAUCAAUAUUUAAAACAAACUUACCUUCGUUAACGUCGGCACCUUUAUUUCCUUCUUUUAGCAAUCCUCUUGCCUUUAUUUCAUCAAAAACCUUUGCAAUUUACAAAAUCUUGCAAAAAUGAAAUAUAUUUGCAAGAAAUCAUCAAAUCAAUUUCGCUGUCGUCAAUCGUCAUGCAGCCGUUAUAACAUAGAUUAAGUAAGAACAGAUGUACUGUAACUUCAGUAAAAAAGUUGUCCCACGGUCGCCAUCUUCCUAGCACAGAAUAGAUACCGGACCAGAAGGGACACUCCUAUGUGAUUUGACUGAAGGAAAACGUCCGAAAUUUUUUUACGUGCAAUGACGCCAUCCUGGAGUGCACACGGCAGUUUGUACCUAUGUUUUCCUAUGAAAAACUUCCGUGUGCACUCCAGGAUGGCGUCAUA